rnacentral:rRNA from 1 species
AUGCGCGCUGUAACCUGGAAAGGGCCAAAAAAAUUGGAAGACAACUUGUUGUUAGCCCGUGCCGCAACUAAGACCUGCACGUAUGGCUGCAGCUUCACGAAUACCCAGUCACCCACUGAGAAGGAUCUCUCUGAUCUUUUUCUAUCUGCCUGGUCUUUCAUCCGAUGCCGGGAUCUUUCUAGAUGUUGUUUCAGCAAGGCUGUCAUAACCUCCCUCUCCUGGUUCCAACAGUUCAGAUCAGCUGGAGCCACCAUUGAGGCAUUCACAAUCCCAAAAUGGCGAGGGGGUGACCAUAGUGUACCUCAAAAGGAGAAGCCUGCAGCGCGGAGUGUGGCGCUGUGUUGUACCAGAACUCAGCCAGGUGCAGCCAUUGAAACCACCUAUGUGAGCAGGAGUGUACAAAACAGCGCAAGAAAGUCUCCAUACACUGGUUUACUCUCUCUCUGUGGUGCCAUCUGUCUGUGGGUGCUACCUCUUGAGCACUGCGUUGGUUUUCCCUUGAAGAGGAAAGAGUGA